rnacentral:lncRNA from 1 species
CUCCUGCUAUUAUGGCAGCCGGUCCUGAGGGACACAUGGGAUCCCAGUCCCACUGCAGGGCUCUUGUCCAGACUUGUCUUCUAAGGAAUAGCCCCUAUUAAAGACCAACAAUCACUGUUUCAGGUAAUUGAAUUAAAACAUGAUAUAGAUCACCAUCAACUGAUAAAUAUGUGCCAGGAAUUGGAAUACAAAUUGGUGCAGAUCUGGAGUUUACCUGCCCUGCAGUUGCUUCACCAGAUCAAUAUCUCAAAUGAAACCAUUGUUUUCACCAGGAUUAACAGUUCACUGUUCCUUGGCCUGCAUUCUGGAGCUGUAAAUGUCUUUGAUGUUCAUGUUGAAGAAGGCCCAGUGGAUCUGUUGGAGAAAAAGCCAGAGGGAAAUGAAGAACCAGAUAUCACUCAUGAUUCUGAAAAUGCUCACAAGGGCCCUGUGGUAGCAGUGGAUGCCUGCAAGACUCUCUCUCUCUUUCUAAGCUGUGGUGCGGACUACAUGGUGAAACUCUGGGAUAUUCACAAGAAUUUGCUAGCCAACAUUUUUCUUGAUAACACUCUCAGCUCUGCUUGUUUCCUAAAUGGUUCUGGAGAUAUUUUAGUGGCUUUCAAAAAUGAUCUUUACAUCUUGCCUCACAGUAAGGCACUGGGUAUCUCAGCGACAGAUACAGAUGUCUCUGGAAUCUCAGCAACAGGUUGCUGA